CCUACGGGAGGCAGCAGUGGGGAAUAUUGCGCAAUGGACGAAAGCCUGACGCAGCGACGCCGCGUGAGGGAUGAAGGUCUUCGGAUCGUAAACCUCUGUCAGCAGGGAAGAACGGUCACUGUGCUAAUCAGCAGUGAAUUGACGGUACCUGCAAAGGAAGCACCGGCUAACUCCGUGCCAGCAGCCGCGGUAAUACGGAGGGUGCGAGCGUUAAUCGGAAUUACUGGGCGUAAAGCGCUCGUAGGCGGUAUGUCAAGUCAAGGGUGAAAUCCCCGCGCUCAACGUGGGAACUGCCUUUGAAACUGGCAAACUGGAGUGUGUGAGAGGAUAGUGGAAUUCCAGGUGUAGGAGUGAAAGCCGUAGAUAUCUGGAGGAACAUCAGUGGCGAAGGCGACUAUCUGGCACAUAACUGACGCUGAGGAGCGAAAGCGUGGGUAGCAAACAGGAUUAGAUACCCUAGUAGUC
rnacentral:rRNA from 1 species